rnacentral:tRNA from 1 species
CCUGGUGGCUCAGAGGUUAAAGCAUCUGCCUGGAAUGUGGUAGACCCAGGUUCGAUCCCUGGGUCAGGA